UGGGGAAUAUUGCACAAUGGGGGAAACCCUGAUGCAGCGACGCCGCGUGAGCGAAGAAGGUUUUCGAAUCGUAAAGCUCUGUCCUAUGAGAAGAUAAUGACGGUAUCAUAGGAGGAAGCCCCGACUAAAUACGUGCCAGCAGCCGCGGUAAUACGUAUGGGGCGAGCGUUGUCCGGAAUUAUUGGGCGUAAAGGGUACGUAGGCGGUCUAUUAAGUCAGGUGUGAAAGCGUGAGGCUUAACCUCAUUAAGCACUUGAAACUGAUAGACUUGAGUGAAGGAGAGGAAAGUGGAAUUCCUAGUGUAGCGGUGAAAUGCGUAGAUAUUAGGAGGAAUACCGGUGGCGAAGGCGACUUUCUGGACUUUUACUGACGCUCAGGUACGAAAGCGUGGGGAGCAAACAGG
rnacentral:rRNA from 1 species